rnacentral:rRNA from 1 species
AUUGAACGCUGGCGGCAUGCCUUACACAUGCAAGUCGAACGGCAGCACGGGAGCAAUCCUGGUGGCGAGUGGCGAACGGGUGAGUAAUAUAUCGGAACGUGCCCAGUCGUGGGGAUAACGUAGCGAAAGCUACGCUAAUACCGCAUACGAUCUACGGAUGAAAGCGGGGGAUCGCAAGACCUCGCGCGAUUGGAGCGGCCGAUAUCAGAUUAGGUAGUUGGUGAGGUAAAGGCUCACCAAGCCGACGAUCUGUAGCUGGUCUGAGAGGACGACCAGCCACACUGGGACUGAGACACGGCCCAGACUCCUACGGGAGGCAGCAGUGGGGAAUUUGGGACAAUGGGCGCAAGCCUGAUCCAGCAAUGCCGCGUGCAGGAUGAAGGCCUCGGGUUCGUAAGUAGCGUUUGUUACGGUAACGAAA